rnacentral:rRNA from 1 species
UGAGUAACGCAAACAUUGGUGAGAAUCCAAUACCCCAAAAACCUAAGGGGUCCUCCGUAAGGUUCAUCCACGGAGGAUGAGUCAGGGCCUAAGAUCAGGCCGAAAGGCGUAGUGGAUGGACACCAGGUGAAUAUUCCUGUACUAUCCCUUGUUGGUCCCGAGGGACGGAGGAGGCUAGGUUAGCUGCAUGAUGACUUGAUUUAUUUAUUUAUUUUUCAAAUUUUUGAAAUCUUAGUUAAACGUGUGGAAUAGAUAAGAUCUUAAGAAAUUUUGAAAAUUAACCAAGGAAAAACCCUUUGGGAUUUUAUUCUUGGUGUCCAGGAUUACGUCCUGGAUCAUUAGAUAGGAAUCCAAAGAUGAAGAGAGAAACAAAAAAUAUCACUACGGUAUAAA